rnacentral:rRNA from 1 species
UACGGAGGGUGCAAGCGUUAUCCGGAAUCACUGGGUUUAAAGGGUGCGUAGGCGGUCUGAUAAGUCAGUUGUGAAAUCGCUGGGCUUAACCUAUGCAACUGCGAUUGAUACUGUCAGACUUGAAUGGGGUUGAGGCAGGCGGAAUGUGGCAUGUAGCGGUGAAAUGCUUAGAUAUGCCAUAGAACACCAAUUGCGAAGGCAGCCUGCUGGGCCUUGAUUGACGCUGAGGCACGAAAGCGUGGGGAGCAAACAGG